GAGAGAGAGAGAGAGAAGGGAAAGAGGGGAAGGCCGCCGGCAAAAGUAGGGAGGGGAAGGCCCCUCUCCUUCCUCCGCCCCUGAGUAAAAAAGAGAGAGAGGGAGGAAGGGGGGUUCGUCGGCGACAAGGGGGGCACCACCCCCCCGUCCGCCCCUGCCUAUAUAUAUACAUAUAUAUAAACUAUAACCAAGGGUUUAACUGUAUUUUUCUUAUUUAGUAGAAUACGGGUCGGAUCCUGGCCUUAAUCCGAAACCCAAACUCGUCAGAGUUCAAGAAAAUCCAAGAGGUGGACAAGAAGAAGAGGAGCACAGCGAUGGCAAUGGGGUUUUCUUGGAAGCUCUGGGAGCUCGCAUUCAUCGUUCUCUACGCCCUCGCUUUCUACGCGCUCGUUAUCCAUCGAUCUCUCCAACUAUCCCACGAUAAUUCUCACAGGUUGUUUGGUCUGCGUCCUGGAUGGAUUCUUGGUCGCCUUAAUGACCUUUCAGAUCCACAAUGGAGAAAUUUUCGUGGAAAUCUACCCAUUCUUAUGCUUGUGUUUGGGAUAUUCACAUUGGUGGCAAAUACAAUCAGGCGCUUCUAUCACUUGAGAGCAAGAGGGAUGUCACUUAUCUGGAGUUUUUUGUCCUUCUGUUAUUUAUCAUAUUUACAUGGAGCUUGUGUUGUCUUUAUCCUUUUGAUCUCUUCAAUGAACUUUUUCCUAGUAAAGAUUUUUGCUCGAACAAAGUACUUUGUGUACAUGCUUUGGAUCUUCAACAUUGCUGUUCUUUUGUUGAACCGUGUUUACGAGGGAUAUUCGUUCACCUUAUUUGGGGCAAACUUGGCUUUCUUAGAUAGUUAUCGCGGAACUUUUAGAUGGCACAUAUGCUUUAACUUAGUUAUUCUGCGCAUGUUAAGCUUUGGGCUGGAUUACCAUUGGUUUUCCUUCCAAGAUUCUCGUUUUGAUCAAAAGAAGCAUAUGCAAGGAUGUUAUACUUGUAGAUCUGGAAAAGCAUGCUACUUUGCUUUACAGGAGAGGAGUGUUCCCAUUGACAAAUACUCAUUCAACAUAUACUUGUCUUAUUUGAUUUAUGCACCACUUUAUAUUGCUGGACCGAUAACUAGCUUCAAUGCAUUUGCAACGCAGUUGGAUAUACCUCAAAAAAAUCAUUCUGUUGGACAAAUAGCUUGGUAUGGUGUCAGAUGGGCUAUUAGUCUGUUCCUCAUGGAAAUAUUGACUCAUUUUUUCUAUUACAAUUCCUAUGCAAGCAGUGACAUAUGGAAAAAUUUGUCACCUUUGGAGAUCUUUAUCAUUGGAUAUGGGGUCAUAAACUUCAUGUGGUUAAAGUUCUCUCUGAUUUGGCGCUUUUUCCGGUUCUGGUCUCUGAUUGGAGGUGUAGAGACUCCUGAAAACAUGCCAAGAUGUGUGAACAACUGCUAUGACUUGGAGAGUUUUUGGAAAAGUUGGCAUGCAUCAUUUAACAAGUGGCUUGUUAGGUACAUGUAUAUUCCACUAGGGGGUUCUCAGAGGAAGCUUCUGAAUGUGUGGGUUAUUUUCACAUUUGUGGCGUUGUGGCAUGAUCUGGAAUGGAAACUUAUUUGCUGGGCAUGGCUAACAUGCAUAUUUUUGAUACCUGAGAUCGUCAUAAAGUCUGCAGCCAAAACAUUUCAGGUUAGAAGUGCUCUGGGUGGAUUCAUUUUCCGUGAACUGAGUGCUAUAUCUGGGGCAGUCACGAUUACAUGCCUAAUGGUUGCAAACCUCGUGGGUUAUGUCAUUGGACCAAACGGCAUAAAUUGGUUAAUAUCGCGACUGCUACAAAAGGAUGGUUUACAUGUUCUCUUUGGCAUAUUUACAUCAUUUUAUAUUGGAACAAAGCUGAUGUUUCACAUUCGUGACGCAAAACAAAAAUGCUGGUGAUCAUCAUAAUCACAUCAAACCUUGUAUUGAUUCAGUUUUUUUGCAGUAGUAGGGGACUUGGGUCCGCCAUUGUUGAUUGGGAAAAACAAAUGCACAAGUAUCUUGAUUUUUUUUAGACAACUGGAAAUUGGGUACCCUAAAGUUAACAACUGGUGGUUUAUUAUAUACCGAAUUUCCGCUUCCAAUUUGCGGCGCUAGUCACUAAGUAUCUUAAUUGACUAAUUUUAGCUUAACGCUGAAUCUCAGGUUCACAUUUGUAAUUUUUUUUUCUUGCUCAACUUUGAUUAUGAGAUCUUGGUAGGAGUUUUUUUCUUUCGUGUUAUUAUUUUUUUAUUUUUCUUCGUUCGAAGUUGCUUCCUAUGUAUGGAAUCUCUUUGACCAAGUGAUAUUUAUACAGAAAUUCGAGAGGCUCUUAUUUGAUUUUUUUUUAAUAUAA